rnacentral:rRNA from 1 species
UACGUAGGGUGCGAGCGUUAAUCGGAAUUACUGGGCGUAAAGCGUGCGCAGGCGGUUUUGUAAGCCAGAUGUGAAAUCCCCGGGCUUAACCUGGGAAUGGCAUUUGGGACUGCAAGGCUUGAGUGCGGCAGAGGAGACUGGAAUUCCUGGUGUAGCAGUGAAAUGCGUAGAUAUCAGGAGGAACACCGAGUGCGAAGGCAGGUCUCUGGGCUGACACUGACGCUCAUGCACGAAAGCGUGGGGAGCAAACAGG